rnacentral:rRNA from 1 species
GACGAACGCUGGCGGCGUGCUUAACACAUGCAAGUCGAACGGAAAGGCCUGCUUUCCCUUGUGGAUUGCGGGUACUCGAGUGGCGAACGGGUGAGUAACACGUGAGUGAUCUGCCCCCAACUUGGGUAUAAGCCUGGGAAACUGGGUCUAAUUCCCGAUAGGACUGCAGGGUGGUGCCUGUGGUGGAAAACGAUUUUCUAGUGGUUGGGGAUGAGCUCGCGGCCUAUCAGCUUGUUGGUGGGGUAAUGGCCUACCAAGGCGGCGACGGGUAGCCGGCCUGAGAGGGUGGACGGCGAGAUUGGGACUGGGAUACGGCCCAGACUCCUACGGGAGGCAGCGGUGGGGAAUAUUGCACAAUGGGCGGAAGCCUGAUGCAGCGACGGCGCGUGGGAGAUGACGGCCUUCGGGUUGUAAACUCCUUUCGACCGCGAGGAAGCCACCUGGUUGGAAGGGUGGUGACGGUAGUGGUAGAAGAAGCACCGGCUAACUACGUG